UACGGGGGGAGCAAGCGUUGUUCGGAUUUACUGGGCGUAAAGGGCGCGUAGGCGGUCAGCACAAGUCGGUUGUGAAAUCUCCGGGCUUAACUCGGAAAGGUCAACUGAUACUGUGCGACUAGAGUGCAGAAGGGGCAACUGGAAUUCUCGGUGUAGCGGUGAAAUGCGUAGAUAUCGAGAGGAACGCCUGCGGCGAAGGCGGGUUGCUGGGCCGACACUGACGCUGAUGCGCGAAAGCCAGGGGAGCGAACGGG
rnacentral:rRNA from 1 species